CCCCCCCACACUCCCCCCUCUUUUUGGGUUCGCGAAGUGCCCGGGGAUGGAUGGAGGGGUGAAGGGUCGGAGGGUCCCGCACACCUUCCCCAGAAUGAAAGGAGGGGGGAGCAACUUUGGGAGAAGCAGGAGCUGCUGCAUGUUCUCCCCACUGCACGCACACCCCAACGGUACCCAUCAGAUGCAGUGCCUGGGCUAGAAGCUAUUUGUGCCACACCAAGCUCACCUGCACAGCACACAUCCAUACCCAGCUCAGGACUCCAGUCCUUCUUCUGCAAAACGCACGCAGAGCUGCUGUUCCACAUUACCUCCAAACGAAGCUGCGAUUCCCAGCUCCCCAGACUCGCCUGUGUGCUACAUGGUGCCAACUCCAUGUGCCAUGAGGAGACAGAGGCAUCUCCACCCAGUGGCUGCCCGACUACCCAGAGAAGCCACCCAUGGUCGCACAGGUUGCUGUGGCCACCCCCGGUGAGGCAGCUCCGGUGAUCAGAAGUCAGGGUGCAGGCCCUGUGAGCACCCACAAACCCUCCUUUGGGUCAGAGCCCCUUCAGGGCACAGUCAGGAGGCUGGUGGUGGGGUGUCAGCUGGCUGCCAAGCAUUCCCCCCAGCCCUGGCAUGGGAGAUCGGCAAAGUCUUGAGUGUCUCUCAUUGCAGGAGGAAACCCCACAAUCCUCUUUCCACAAACACGUGUAAUAUCUGCUCAGUGCCUGCAUUGUUUAGCUCCGCAGCCUGCGUGGUGGUCUCACUCUGCAAAUUAUCCAGCGUUACAGGCUGAAUAAGCUCGGCCUGUGUCAAUCAGUGUAAUCACCUUUGCGACAGCCCUGCACACCCACGUGAGGUGGUGGCACUGCUCUGAGCUCAAACACAGCAAGGCCAAGGCCAAAUGAUGCGACGUGCUCUCACAAGGCCAAAGGAAGAGCAAGAGGCAUGCUGAAAAAUAAAUAAAUAAAUAAAUAUAUAAACAUAUGUGCCAGCUGAAGGCUUCUGCCCUCCGGCAGCCUGCUGUUGCUUCCCUGUCUAUGCCCGUACCAGCCCUGCCGGCUGCAGGGAUCACAUGAGAGCUGCUUAAUCCGUGUCAGGCGGAGCUGGCCAAGCGAGGUGAGGUGCCAGCAGGGUGAACAGGAGCUGUGCUGCCUGUGGUUAGCGUGGCAUAGAGGUGGCAGUCUCCAGCUGGUGAGCAUGGGCCUCUGGAACAGGGAGGUGCAACGAGGCUGGGGUGAAAAUUAUCAUCCCCCAGCCCAGAUGCAGGGCAUGGGGAGACACAUAAGGAAAAAACAGCUGAGAAUGUGUCAUCAUUGUGGCAAUACUUUAUAGUUCCUAUCAUCCAGGGACUGAUUCUGUUCCAGGUUGACUCUAGAGCUAUCCCAAACCCUACAUGAACUCAAAUGCUGGGAAGAAAGGGCUGGGUCAUUGCGUCUGUUGCUCUCCUACUAGAAACCAUCAUUUCACACAUCCUGCCAUAAGGCCUUCAAGGUGAGCAUUGGUGUCCUGUCCUCACCUCACCUUCUGGGAUAUUACCUUGGAGCUUCACCUCUCCGAAGGUCAGAAAGCACCUAAUUUCCAUCCUGAAUGUAUUCAAAGCGUUUGCCCACCCGUCUGCUCUGCAGCAGGUGUUAGGAUUUGACAGAACCAGCUCUUCUCACCCUUACACAUACCUCCCUGUUGUGUUGGCCCAUAUCAAGUUCAUUCCGUGAUAAAAUAAAGGUA